GGUUCACGGACGCGGCGAUCGCCGGGCGGCUCCGGCUGAACGGGGAAUUCCGGGAGAAAGUUCUGGAACGUUGGGACGGCGGCGACGGCGACGACUGCGAGCUGGAGGCUGAGCUGUCCAACGGCUGGGAUCCCAACGAGAUGUUCCGAUUCAACGAGGAGAAUUACGGCGUCAAGAGCACCUACGACUCCAGCCUGGCCUCCUACACGGUCCCCCUGGCCCGCGAGGACAGCGCGGCGUUCCGGCAGCGCCGGCUCCGGGGACGAGUUUGGGCCAUUUUGGGUCAAUUC